UACACACACGCUACAAUGGUCUGUACAAUGGGUAGCCAAGCCGCGAGGCGGAGCCAAUCCUGAAAGCAGGCCUCAAGUUCAGAUUGCAGUCUGCAACUCGACUGCAUGAAGCCGGAGUUGCUAGUAACCGCAGGUCAGCAAUACUGCGGUGAAUACGUUCCCGGGUCUU
rnacentral:rRNA from 1 species